rnacentral:rRNA from 1 species
UACGGAGGGUGCAAGCGUUAAUCGGAAUUACUGGGCGUAAAGCGCACGCAGGCGGUCUGUCAAGUCGGAUGUGAAAUCCCCGGGCUCAACCUGGGAACUGCAUCCGAAACUGGCAGGCUAGAGUCUUGUAGAGGGGGGUAGAAUUCCAGGUGUAGCGGUGAAAUGCGUAGAGAUCUGGAGGAAUACCGGUGGCGAAGGCGGCCCCCUGGACAAAGACUGACGCUCAGGUGCGAAAGCGUGGGGAGCAAACAGGAUUAGAUACCCUGGUAGUCCACGCCGUAAACGAUGUCGACUGGGAGGUUGUGGCCUUGAGGCGUGGCUGCCGAAGCUAACGCGUUAAGUAGACCGCCUGGGGAGUACGGCCGCAAGGUUAAA